CAGUAGCCACGGUAAUACGAAGGGUGCAAGCGUUACUCGGAAUUACUGGGCGUAAAGCGUGCGUAGGUGGUGGUUUAAGUCCGUUGUGAAAGCCCUGGGCUCAACCUGGGAAUUGCAGUGGAUACUGGGUCACUAGAGUGUGGUAGAGGAUAGUGGAAUUUCCGGUGUAGCAGUGAAAUGCGUAGAGAUCGGAAGGAACAUCUGUGGCGAAGGCGACUAUCUGGGCCAACACUGACACUGAGGCACGAAAGCGUGGGGAGCAAACAGGAUUAGAUACCCCCGUAGUCCCUGUCUCUUAUAA
rnacentral:rRNA from 1 species